GACGAACGCUGGCGGCGUGCUUAACACAUGCAAGUCGAACGGAAAGGCCCUGCUUUUGUGGGGUGCUCGAGUGGCGAACGGGUGAGUAACACGUGAGUAACCUGCCCUUGACUUUGGGAUAACUUCAGGAAACUGGGGCUAAUACCGGAUAGGAGCUCCUGCUGCAUGGUGGGGGUUGGAAAGUUUCGGCGGUUGGGGAUGGACUCGCGGCUUAUCAGCUUGUUGGUGGGGUAGUGGCUUACCAAGGCUUUGACGGGUAGCCGGCCUGAGAGGGUGACCGGCCACAUUGGGACUGAGAGACGGCCCAGACUCCUACGGGAGGCAGCAGUGGGGAAUAUUGCACAAUGGGCGGAAGCCUGAGGCAGCAACGCCGCGUGCGGGAUGACGGCCUUCGGGUUGUAAACCGCUGUCGCCUGUGACGAAGCGUGAGUGACGGUAAUGGGUAAAGAAGCACCGGCUAACUACGUG
rnacentral:rRNA from 1 species